GCGCCCCCUUGCGGCCCGAGUACGCAUAUGCAUUUAACUUUGUUGUACCACGAUCUCUUCAGAUGCGAUGAAAAAAACUUUGGCGAAUGUUGUGGCAUCUGGCGCUUAUACGACCAACUCUCUCUGUCUAUCCUCAACAGUUUCUUUAUUUCGCAAAAAUUCCGUGGAGAAAACAUUUUUGUCCAUGUUUAAAGUCUUGCCUUGCGAUGGGAUAAAUCAUUUUCUGAAGCGAUGAGAUGGAAUUGGGACCUUCACAGCAGCCAACAAACAAGGAUUUCUGUGAGGCAUUGGGUUUUCCACAUUGCAGACCUCUGUAUCACCAACUUAAAUGAGCCUCCACCUGUCCACCAUGAUCUCCCCCAAACUUAAUCCACACCCCAUCUUCAGGAAUUGCCCCAUCGUGAGUUGUGAGAAAUCCAUUCCUGUGGAAAGAUGAUGGAACAUGAACAUUGGUCUGUGACUCUGCUAUGGACCUAGCGAAUCACUGUCGACUAUCCAUGGUUCAAGUGAGGAUUGGCCAACCUGGUCAUUUCUUAAUUACCUACAGACUGUAACUGCACCGUGCAAAGUCUUAUGCAGGAAUGGGGCUACAGCAGUGAUGGAGAAACCACCUUUGACUGUGGAGAGAUCAGAUGAUGCAAUACCUUUGGUCUGCCCCCCCUUCCCCACCAGAGGAGCCAUGCACUGCCAGAGAUCUUGAGCCAGGUCUUCACUGGUCAGGACUUCAGUGGUUAUCCAUGGAUAAGAUAAUGAGGUAUCUCAUUGAUUUCGGCAUGACCAUCUUCCAAACGAAUCUGGAGGCUCUUUCCACGGAUCUUGGAAUAUCUACAAUAUAUUGUAUAGCUGGUUCAAGUGUGAUUCCAGCUUUUUUAAGAGCUUCUUGACGUUCUACUUCUACUGGCCUUUAUUGUUGUUAACAUCUCCUGUGAAUGUUUAUAGGAGGCCAGUUUCGCCACAAACACAGUAAACCUCGAGUUCAGAUAUAGUUAAAAAACAGGAACUACUUGUAAAAUCGUCUUAUGUUCUUGCUACAAAUUGGACACGGUGAAACAUUACAUUCAUUAUAUCUUAAGUAUUUACUGAGGUACUCACUACAAAAGGAAGUUGGGGUCAAAAGGUCAAGUUUUUGUUCAACUUGGUCACAUUUGUUUAUUUCUGCAUCAAUUAUGUGCACACUUACAUCUGAUCCUUGGGUAAUACUACAUGUACGUUCAUUAGGAUAAUGAAAAUUGCUUAGUCAGGAAAAGUGGCUUAUUGGAUCCUCUAUCUUUUGCUUAUAAUUAUUUUUUUUCAAAUUUAAUAUUUCUCCAUCAAAUCUGACAAAUUCAUUAUUUUUUUAUCAGUAAUUAUUAAACAACGUCAGUAAUAAGAGCAAUUGACGCAAAUAUUCAAUGACGAACUAAAAAAUGUUUCUAAUUGGAUAAAAGCUAACAAACUCUCUCUUAACCUAGAAAAAACUAGCUACAUGCUAUUUAGCAACAAGAUUACGACUGUACCAAAAGAUGUAAUUUUAAAUGAUACUGUCAUUCAAAGAGUGUGAUCUACUAAAUUUUUGGGACUGAUCAUUGACAAAAAACUUUCUUGGAAAGCACAUAUUGAUAAUAUUUGUAAAAUCAUUGCUCGCAACAUUGGUGUCAUUAGAAAAUUAAGUUACUUCUUACCCCAUUAUAUUUUGUUAUUGUAUUCAACGUUUAUUUUACCUUACUUGAAUUACGGAGUUGUUGCAUGGGGUAACGCAGCGAAUUCUCAAAUUAAUAGACUUUUUAUUCUACAAAAAAGAGUGAUUCGUAUUAUAAGUCAUGCAGAAUUCAGGGGACAUACAAAUAUUCUGUUUUUGAGAAAUAAAGUCUUGAACGUUAAAGAUUUAUAUUCUUUUCAACUCGGACAGUUAAUGUACAAGUUAAUCAAUACACAAUUACCGUUACCUUUUAAUUUGUAAAAAAUGAUACAAUUCAUAAGCACUUCACUCGCCAGGCGAGUUCCUUUUAUUUCAUUUACCUCUGAAUAGAACAUCGUUUGCACAAAAGACAUUUGAUUUUACUGGUCCAAAAUUAUGGAAUUCUUUUUCAAAGGUAAUUCAAUACAAAAUUUCAAAGGAAAACUUAAAAAAUAUCUUCUGAAGUCAUAUUAGAUUAUCAUUUUUUCCCAAAGUAAUGUAAUUCAGAACUUAAUAAUUAUGUAAAUGUGUUUAUUAAUUUCUCUU